rnacentral:rRNA from 1 species
AGUGCAUGUGGUGGAUGCCUUGGCGAUUACAGGCGAUGAAGGACGUUGUAGCCUGCGAUAAGCCGCGGGGAGCUGGCAAACAAGCUUUGAUCCGCGGAUGUCCGAAUGGGGAAACCCACCCGCAAGGGUAUCGCUGACUGAAUCCAUAGGUCAGCGAGGCGAACGUGGCGAACUGAAACAUCUAAGUAGCCACAGGAAAAGAAAUCAACCGAGAUUCCGAAAGUAGUGGCGAGCGAAAUCGGAGCAGCCUGUGCGUGAUAGUCGAUUGGCUAGUGGAACGGUAUGGAAAGGCCGGCCAUAGAGGGUGAUAGCCCCUUACACGAAAGCGAAUCGGUGGUACUGAGCGUACGACAAGUAGGGCGGGACACGUGUAAUCCUGUCUGAAGAUGGGGGGACCAUCCUCCAAGGCUAAAUACUCGUAAUCGACCGAUAGUGAACAAGUACUGUGAAGGAAAGGCGAAAAGAACCCCGGGAGGGGAGUGAAAUAGAUCCUGAAACCGCAUGCAUACAAACAGUCGGAGCCUCGCAAGGGGUGACGGCGUACCUUUUGUAUAAUGGGUCAGCGACUUACAUUCAGUGGCAAGCUUAACCAGAUAGGGGAGGCGCAGGGAAACCGAGUCCGAACAGGGCGCCAUAGUCGCUGGGUGUAGACCCGAAACCAGGUGAUCUAUCCAUGGUCAGGAUGAAGGUUGGGUAACACCAGCUGGAGGUCCGAACCGACUAAUGUUGCAAAAUUAGCGGAUGAACUGUGGAUAGGGGUGAAAGGCUAAUCAAACCUGGAAAUAGCUGGUUCUCCCCGAAAACUAUUUAGGUAGUGCGUCAUGUAUUGCUCCAGGGGGUAGAGCACUGUAAUGGUUGUGGGGGCCAUCGCGGCUUACCACGCCAUAGCAAACUCCGAAUACCUGGAAGUAUGAGCAUGGCAGACAGUCGCCGGGUGCUAACGUCCGGCGGCAAGAGGGAAACAACCCAGACCUACAGCUAAGGUCCCAAAGUGUGGCUAAGUGGGAAACGAAGUGGGAAGGCUAAAACAGUCAGGAUGUUGGCUUAGAAGCAGCCAUCAUUUAAAGAAAGCGUAAUAGCUCACUGAUCGAGUCGUCCUGCGCGGAAGAUGUAACGGGGCUAAGCCAUGCACCGAAGCUUAGGCUGCACUCUCUGAGUGCAGGGUAGGGGAGCGUUCUGUAAGCCUGUGAAGGUGUCUCGUAAGGGAUGCUGGAGGUAUCAGAAGUGCGAAUGCUGACAUGAGUAGCGUUAAAGCGGGUGAAAAGCCCGCUCGCCGUAAGCGCAAGGUUUCCUACGCAACGUUCAUCGGCGUAGGGUGAGUCGGCCCCUAAGGUGAGGGCGAAAGCCAUAGCUGAUGGGAAGCUGGUUAAUAUUCCAGCACCGAUUUCUAGUGCGAUGGGGGGACGGAUCGUGGAAGGUUGUCCGGGUGUUGGAAGUCCCGGUUCCUGACCUGUAGGUGUCUGGUAGGUAAAUCCGCCAGGCGUAUGCCGAGGGGUUGGGACGAGCGAGCUUGCUCGCGAAGCAACUGGAAGUGGUUCCAAGAAAAGCCUCUAAGCUUCAGCUAGAAACGACCGUACCGCAAACCAACACUGGUGCGCGAGAUGAGUAUUCUCAGGCGCUUGAGAGAACUCGGGAGAAGGAACUCGGCAAAUUGACACCGUAACUUCGGAAGAAGGUGUGCCUUGGUAGCUUGAGUGUGAACAACACAAGGGCAAAGAGGUUGCAAAGAAUAGGUGGCUGCGACUGUUUAUUAAAAACACAGCACUCUGCAAACACGAAAGUGGACGUAUAGGGUGUGACGCCUGCCCGGUGCUGGAAGGUUAAUUGAAGAUGUGAGAGCAUCGGAUCGAAGCCCCAGUAAACGGCGGCCGUAACUAUAACGGUCCUAAGGUAGCGAAAUUCCUUGUCGGGUAAGUUCCGACCUGCACGAAUGGCGUAACGAUGGCCACACUGUCUCCUCCCGAGACUCAGCGAAGUUG